CCUACGGGAGACAGCAGUGAGGAAUAUUGGUCAAUGGGCGGGAGCCUGAACCAGCCAAGUCGCGUGAGGGACGACGGUCCUAUGGAUUGUAAACCUCUUUUGUCGGGGAACAAAGGCGCCCACGGGUGGGCGGAUGAGUGUACCCGAAGAAAAAGCAUCGGCUAACUCCGUGCCAGCAGCCGCGGUAAUACGGAGGAUGCGAGCGUUAUCCGGAUUUAUUGGGUUUAAAGGGAGCGUAGGCCGCAUGUCAAGCGUGCUGGGAAAUGUCCGGGCUCAACCCGGGCCUUGCAGCGCGAACUGGCGUGCUUGAGUCCGCGGAAAGCAGGCGGAAUUCGUCGUGUAGCGGUGAAAUGCUUAGAUAUGACGAAGAACCCCGAUUGCGAAGGCAGCUUGCUGCAGCGGAACUGACGCUGAUGCUCGAAAGCGCGGGUAUCGAACAGGAUUAGAUACCCGUGUAGUC
rnacentral:rRNA from 1 species